CAAGACCGUGUUACUCAAAAUGGAGGCACUUCCCUUUGUCUUCACUGGAAAGUGCUUCUGUUUUGGGUCUCGCUGUUUGA
rnacentral:pre_miRNA from 1 species